UCCACAGCCAUAUCACCCUGCAGCCCAAGACUGGUUGCCCACUGAAGCUGGUUGAGCCUGGUCAGUACCUGGAUAGGAGACCUCCUGGGAAAACUAGGUUGCUGCUGGAA
rnacentral:rRNA from 1 species